rnacentral:rRNA from 1 species
UACGUAGGGUGCGAGCGUUAAUCGGAAUUACUGGGCGUAAAGCGUGCGCAGGCGGUUAUGUAAGACAGAUGUGAAAUCCCCGGGCUCAACCUGGGACCUGCAUUUGUGACUGCAUAGCUAGAGUACGGUAGAGGGGGAUGGAAUUCCGCGUGUAGCAGUGAAAUGCGUAGAUAUGCGGAGGAACACCGAUGGCGAAGGCAAUCCCCUGGGCCUGCACUGACGCUCAUGCACGAAAGCGUGGGGAGCAAACAGG